CCACUCUUUUUGACAUAACGCAUGCGUACAAAAGGCAAUUGAGGAUUGGCGAUGACGACUGGAGAGAGAACUUUUGCGGCUAUACUUUUUACAUACUGCUUACUAAAUUCUAAGUUAGAAUGCAGGAGUUAUUGGAUUUUGAAGUCAGCACAUACAAUCUAAGCGUAGUAAGUGAUCCAAUUUAUUAGUAGUUGUCUCUUGAGCUAUAUCU
rnacentral:lncRNA from 1 species